UACGUAGGCAGCAAGCGUUGUUCGGAGUUACUGGGCGUAAAGAGUGUGUAGGCGGUUUUCUAAGUUUGGUGUGAAAUCUCCCGGCUUAACUGGGAGGGUGCGCCGAAGACUGGAAGGCUUGAGUAUGGGAGAGGAAAGCGGAAUUCCUGGUGUAGCGGUGAAAUGCGUAGAUAUCAGGAGGAACACCUGUGGUGUAGACGGCUGUCUGGACCAUCACUGACGCUGAGACACGAAAGCGUGGGUAGCAAACAGG
rnacentral:rRNA from 1 species